CACGGGGGUUGCGAGCGUUGUCUGUAAUUACUAGGCGUAAAGGGCAGGCAGGCGGAUCCAUAAGUUUAUCGUUUAAGGCGUCGGCUUAACCGGCGUAUGGCGGUAGAUACUGUGGAUCUGGAAUGCGGUUGGGGAAGACAGAAUUCCUGGUGUAGCGGUGGAAUGCGCAGAGAUCAGGAGGAAUACCGAAGGCGAAGGCAGUCUUCCAAGCCGUUAUUGACGCUCAACUGCGAAGGUGUGGGUAUCAAACAGGAUUAGAUACCCCGGUAGUCCCUGA
rnacentral:rRNA from 1 species